rnacentral:lncRNA from 1 species
GCAGAAGAUCUCGACCUUAAACUUAAGCUGCUCUGAAGCAUCAUGACGGGGUGAAAGCCAGUUUCAAUGUGUCUGGACGGAAAAAUGGAAGCCAAUAACAUGAAGCAGAUCCUCCAAACAGACAUAAGGGCAGUGGAGUGUUAAACGGACCCGGCCGCUUUCUGCCAAGCCAAACCAAAUUGUACUUUAACUCCGGGAAAGAUGAAAUGCUGCCUCUCAUGAGGGUUGCUGUCUAUCCGGCAUUUGUGAAAGGAGAAGUCGAAUUGCGCGCCGCUGACAAGCUCGGAAAAACGCAACGCUGUAAAUAUAGUGGCUUGACAUCAGAAAUGUGUCAACAUCCGGGACACGUCACUCAGAAAG